rnacentral:rRNA from 1 species
AGUGAACGCUGGCGGUAGGCCUAACACAUGCAAGUCGAACGGCAGCACAGUAAGAGCUUGCUCUUACGGGUGGCGAGUGGCGGACGGGUGAGGAAUACAUCGGAAUCUACUUUUUCGUGGGGGAUAACGUAGGGAAACUUACGCUAAUACCGCAUACGACCUACGGGUGAAAGCAGGGGAUCUUCGGACCUUGCGCGAUUGAAUGAGCCGGUGUCGGAUUAGCUAGUUGGCGGGGUAAAGGCCCACCAAGGCGACGAUCCGUAGCUGGUCUGAGAGGAUGAGCGGCCACACUGGAACUGAGACACGGUCCAGACUCCUACGGGAGGCAGCAGUGGGGAAUAUUGGACAAUGGGCGCAAGCCUGAUCCAGCCAUACCGCGUGGGUGAAGAAGGCCUUCGGGUUGUAAAGCCCUUUUGUUGGGAAAGAAAAGCAGCAGGUUAAUACCCCGCUGUUCUGACGGUACCCAAAGAAUAAGCACCGGCUAACUUCGUG